GUCGGACGGCAGCGCGGGGGCAACCCUGGCGGCGAGUGGCGAACGGGUGAGUAAUACAUCGGAACGUGUCCUGGAGUGGGGGAUAGCCCGGCGAAAGCCGGAUUAAUACCGCAUACGCUCUGUGGAGGAAAGCGGGGGAUCUUCGGACCUCGCGCUCAAGGGGCGGCCGAUGGCAGAUUAGCUAGUUGGUGGGGUAAAGGCCUACCAAGGCGACGAUCUGUAGCUGGUCUGAGAGGACGACCAGCCACACUGGGACUGAGACACGGCCCAGACUCCUACGGGAGGCAGCAGUGGGGAAUUUUGGACAAUGGGGGCAACCCUGAUCCAGCAAUGCCGCGUGUGUGAAGAAGGCCUUCGGGUUGUAAAGCACUUUUGUCCGGAAAGAAAACCGCUUCUCUAAUACAGGGGCGGGAUGACGGUACCGGAAGAAUAAGCACCGGCUAACUACGUGCCAGCAGCCGCGGUAAUACGUAGGGUGCAAGCGUUAAUCGGAAUUACUGGGCGUAAAGCGUGCGCAGGCGGUUCGCUAAGACCGAUGUGAAAUCCCCGGGCUUAACCUGGGAACUGCAUUGGUGACUGGCGGGCUAGAGUAUGGCAGAGGGGGGUAGAAUUCCACGUGUAGCAGUGAAAUGCGUAGAGAUGUGGAGGAAUACCGAUGGCGAAGGCAGCCCCCUGGGCCAAUACUGACGCUCAUGCACGAAAGCGUGGGGAGCAAACAGGAUUAGAUACCCUGGUAGUCCACGCCCUAAACGAUGUCAACUAGUUGUCGGGUCUUCAUUGACUUGGUAACGAAGCUAACGCGUGAAGUUGACCGCCUGGGGAGUACGGUCGCAAGAUUAAAACUCAAAGGACUUGACGGGGACCCGCACAAGCGGUGGAUGAUGUGGAUUAAUUCGAUGCAACGCGAAAAACCUUACCUACCCUUGACAUGUACGGAACC
rnacentral:rRNA from 1 species